rnacentral:rRNA from 1 species
AGCAGCCGCGGUAAUUCCAGCUCCAAUAGCGUAUAUUAAAGUUGUUGCAGUUAAAAAGCUCGUAGUUGAAUUUCGGGGUCAGUAGGUCGGUCGUGCCACUGGUAUGAACUGGUCUCACUGGUUCCUCCUUCUUGAAGAACCGUAAUGUCAUUAACUUGGUGUUGCGGGGAAACAGGACUGUUACCUUGAAAAAAUUAGAGUGUUUAAAGCAGGCUAGCGCCUGAAUACAUUAGCAUGGAAUAAUGAAAUAGGACGUUCGAUCCUAUUUUGUUGGUUUCUAGGAUUGACGUAAUGAUUAAUAGGGAUAGUUGGGGGCAUUAGUAUUCAAUUGUCAGAGGUGAAAUUCUUGGAUUUAUUGAAGACUAACUACUGCGAAAGCAUUUGCCAAGGAUGUUUUCAUUAAUCAAGAACGAAAGUUAGGGGAUCGAAGACGAUCAGAUACCGUCGUAG